rnacentral:rRNA from 1 species
ACGGGUGCGUAACGCGUAUGCAAUCUGCCUUUCACAGAGGGAUAGCCCAGAGAAAUUUGGAUUAAUACCUCAUAGUAUUAUUGGGUGGCAUCACUUAAUAAUUAAAGUCACAACGGUGAAAGAUGAGCAUGCGUCCCAUUAGCUAGUUGGUAAGGUAACGGCUUACCAAGGCAACGAUGGGUAGGGGUCCUGAGAGGGAGAUCCCCCACACUGGUACUGAGACACGGACCAGACUCCUACGGGAGGCAGCAGUGAGGAAUAUUGGUCAAUGGACGCAAGUCUGAACCAGCCAUGCCGCGUGCAGGAUGACGGUCCUAUGGAUUGUAAACUGCUUUUGUACGAGAAGAAACAACAUUACGUGUAAUGUCUUGACGGUAUCGUAAGAAUAAGGAUCGGCUAACUCCGUGCCAGCAGCCGCGGUAAUACGGAGGAUCCAAGCGUUAUCCGGAAUCAUUGGGUUUAAAGGGUCCGUAGGCGGUUUAGUAAGUCAGUGGUGAAAGCCCAUCGCUCAACGGUGGAACGGCCAUUGAUACUGCUGAACUUGAAUUAUUAGGAAGUAACUAGAAUAUGUAGUGUAGCGGUGAAAUGCUU